rnacentral:rRNA from 1 species
AGAAACCAACAGGGAUUGCCCUAGUAACGGCGAGUGAAGCGGCAACAGCUCAAAUUUGAAAUCUGGCGCAAGCCCGAGUUGUAAUUUGUAGAGGAUGCUUCUGGGUAGCGGCCGGUCUAAGUUCCUUGGAACAGGACGUCACAGAGGGUGAGAAUCCCGUAUGUGAUCGGCCCGCGCCCUCUACGUAGCUCCUUCGACGAGUCGAGUUGUUUGGGAAUGCAGCUCUAAAUGGGAGGUAAAUUUCUUCUAAAGCUAAAUACCGGCCAGAGACCGAUAGCGCACAAGUAGAGUGAUCGAAAGAUGAAAAGCACUUUGGAAAGAGAGUUAAACAGCACGUGAAAUUGUUGAAAGGGAAGCGCUUGCAACCAGACUUGACGGCGGUGUUCCCCCGGGCUUCUGCCCGGGUUAUUCACCGUCUUCAGGCCAUCAUCGUCUGGGGCCGCCGGAGAAACCGUCAGGAAUGUGGCUCCCUCGGGAGUGUUAUAGCCUGUCGACAUGCGGCGUGCCCCGGGCGAGGUCCGCGCUUAGGCAAGGAUGAUGGCGUAAUGGUUGUCAGCGGCCCGUCUUGAAACACGGACCAAGGAGUCUAACAUCUAUGCGAGUGUUCGGGUGUCAAACCCCUACGCGUAAUGAAAGUGAACGGAGGUGGGAGCUUCGGCGCACCAUCGACCGAUCCUGAUGUCCUCGGAUGGAUUUGAGUAAGAGCAUAGCUGUUGGGACCCGAAAGAUGGUGAACUAUGCCUGAAUAGGGUGAAGCCAGAGGAAACUCUGGUGGAGGCUCGCAGCGGUUCUGACGUGCAAAUCGAUCGUCAAAUUUGGGUAUAGGGGCGAAAGACUAAUCGAA